rnacentral:rRNA from 1 species
AGUGAACGCUGGCGGUAGGCCUAACACAUGCAAGUCGAACGGCAGCACAGUAAGGGCUUGCUCUUACGGGUGGCGAGUGGCGGACGGGUGAGGAAUGCAUCGGAAUCUACUUUUUCGUGGGGGAUAACGUAGGGAAACUUACGCUAAUACCGCAUACGACCUACGGGUGAAAGCAGGGGAUCUUCGGACCUUGCGCGAUUGAAUGAGCCGAUGUCGGAUUAGCUAGUUGGCGGGGUAAAGGCCCACCAAGGCGACGAUCCGUAGCUGGUCUGAGAGGAUGAUCAGCCACACUGGAACUGAGACACGGUCCAGACUCCUACGGGAGGCAGCAGUGGGGAAUAUUGGACAAUGGGCGCAAGCCUGAUCCAGCCAUACCGCGUGGGUGAAGAAGGCCUUCGGGUUGUAAAGCCCUUUUGUUGGGAAAGAAAAGCAGCAGGUUAAUACCCCGCUGUUCUGACGGUACCCAAAGAAUAAGCACCGGCUAACUUCGU